AGUCGGAUAAUCGCGCUUAGAGUAAUUUAAGUGAGGAAAGUCCGUGCAUCCCAGAACAGGCCGCCGGAGAAACUCCGGGCGUCGUGAGGCGGCGGAUAGUGCCACAGAAAUGUAGACUGCCGAUGGAUUAAACGGGUAAGGGGAAACCCUCACCUUAACCCUCUUCUAAAGAAAGAGGGAAAUCACAGGCGAUGGUGCAACGGUGAGUUAAGAGCUUCACCGGUGAAGUCGGAAGGCUUCAGCCAGGUAAACCCCGGUCGGAUGCAAGAUUGAGUCGAAGGUUAUAAAGGUUGUUCGCCAACUUCGGAAAAAAUCGCUAGAGUUUAGGAGUAAUCCUAUCCCCAGACAGAUGAUUAUCUAAAACAGAACACGGCUUACGGACUGCUUUA
rnacentral:RNase_P_RNA from 1 species